GACAGAGGGUGCAAACGUUGUUCGGAAUUACUGGGCGUAAAGCGUGCGUAGGCGGCCAACUAAGUCGGAUGUGAAAUCCCCAGGCUUAACCUGGGAACUGCAUCCGAUACUGGAUGGCUUGAAUUCGGGAGAGGGAUGCAGAAUUCCAGGUGUAGCGGUGAAAUGCGUAGAUAUCUGGAGGAAUACCGGUGGCGAAGGCGGCAUCCUGGACCGAGAUUGACGCUGAUGAGCGAAAGCUAGGGGAGCAAACGGG
rnacentral:rRNA from 1 species